AUUGUGGGUUCCCGUGGAAUAACUGUGGAUAUUUCCUUCAAUCAAAACCAAGGUAUCCAGUUAGGGAAGGCUGGGAUAUCCAAUGCCUCAGGUCACACACCAGGCAAGCUGCAGAGAUUCCUGAAGGAACAUCUCAGGCAACUGGGGGUGGUUCAGAUUAUGAUUGGUGUGAAAUUCAUCGUCUAUGGGACACUUGGAAUUACGGCUCUCCAUUACACAAUACACAAAAUUGGUUUCUUCUCAUUUCAGAUAGGCUUCCCCAUAUGGGCAGCUUUAUCUUUUAUUAUUUCUGGAUCUGUGACAGUUGUGUCUGCAAAGAAGCAAACAAAAGCUCUGCUGAGAGGAAAUCUGAGAGCUAACACUUCUCAGCACAAUUGUUUCAGGCACUGGAAUUCUGGUUCUCUCAAACAACUUAAUGAAAAUCACCUUCCUGAAGUUUGAGAAAGAAGAUUUAUGUUCUGGCAUCACAUCAGUUGCAACUGGCCUGGUGGUCGUGCUGAUGCUACUCAACUGUCUGCAAUUUUCAAUCACACUUGCUCUGUGUGUGCUCGCCUAUCAUGUGGACGGCGAGAAAAUUGAUUGGCUUUCAGCAUUAUUUUCCCGGAAAUCAGCUUCAGAGAGUCCUGAUGAAGGCUUGCUGCCUCUCCCUUCACUCUACCAGAAUCUUGAGAGGAAGGACACACUGUUAUACUACAACACCUGAGACAGGAGUACAGGAGUGAGAAUGUGCGGUCAUGAAGGUGGAAACUGGAAAAAUAAAACAACAGAAGGCCGAAAGCUUGUCUGGAUCCUCUUUUAUUGACUCCUGUAAUAUCAACCGGCAUAGACAAUGAUGCCGUAAGAAGAUCUAAUCCCCGAAAUGCUUCUUGUGCUCAUCAUAAUUGGAUCACAUGAGUUGCAUAUCCCAUGUGACCUAAUAGGUCAACAGGUGCACCUGCCAAUUAAAAUCACAUUAAGCCAAAACAGACUGAAGGAUUUAGCCGUGGUUCCAUGGAGGCUUGAGUACAGGUGAAAGCAGGUGAAAGACAGGUCCAUACCAUGGGCCUUCUUUGCUGUCAUGUUUAACCGAUAGAGCUUCUAACCAAUAAAAGAUUUCUUAUUCUCUUUUCAUGUAGGCAAAUCUGAAUAAACAUUACAGCCAUUACCAAUAUCAGAGGCAGCUUCUCAAA